AACGAACGCUGGCGGCAUGCCUAACACAUGCAAGUCGAACGAGACCUUCGGGUCUAGUGGCGCACGGGUGCGUCACACGUGGGAAUCUGCCCUUUGCUUCGGAAUAACAGUUAGAAAUGACUGCUAAUACCGGAUGAUGUCGAAAGACCAAAGAUUUAUCGGCCAAGGAUGAGCCCGCGUAGGAUUAGGUAGUUGGUGGGGUAAAGGCCUACCAAGCCGACGUUCCUUAGCUGGUCUGAGAGGAUGAGCAGCCACACUGGGAGUGGGACACGGCCGAGACUCCUACGGGAGGGAGGAAUGGGGAAUAUUGGAAAAUGGGGGAAAGCAUGAUCCAGCAAUGGCGGGUGAGUGAUGAAGGCCUUAAGGUUGUAAAGCUCGUUUACCAGGGAUGAUAAUGACAGUACCUGGAGAAUAAGCUCCGGCUAACUCCGUG
rnacentral:rRNA from 1 species